AAAUUCUGAAAGGAGAGAAGCAUAAACUUUGAAUUGAAAAACAAAAAGAGAGGGUAUAUAAGCCAAGCUUGGUUACUGCGAUUCUAGGCCCAUCAAUUCAACCAAAAUAAUCAAAAACACAGAACUGUCCUUCGAUGAUUAUUUAAAUAGACUUUAAUAUGAACGAAAUUAGCUACUGCCUCUAUACUAAGUUUUGUCGAUUAGUAGUUUUAGUACUGCAACCAGCAGGUUCAUAAAUCAAAAUUCCACCUCAAGGUCCAUCCAAAAUAACUGAAAUAGUUAAAUUCAAGAAACACGGAUCAAUAAUGGUUAUGCACCAAUCUGUUAGAUCCAACUAAGCUCAAAGAGCUUUUGAGCAAUUGAAGGUUCAUAGACAUCCAACAAUGCUGAAGCAUAUCCAACCUGAAGCAUUUUACACUAUGAAACCAAGAUUUACUACAAUUUUAGCAAUUCCCCUCAUGUACUGAGAUCUGAAUGAAAGCUUAAACUCCAAAAACAAAUCCAAUGUCCCCUAACCCCAAGUGAAAGCCGACUUUAAUAUGAACGAAAUUAGCUACUGCCUCUAUACUAAGUUUUGUCGAUUAGUAGUUUUAGUACUGCAACCAGCAGGUUCAUAAAUCAAAAUUCCACCU
rnacentral:lncRNA from 1 species